rnacentral:rRNA from 1 species
AUUGAACGCUGGUGGCAUGCUUUACGCAUGCAAGUCGAACGGUAACAGGGUGCUUGCACCGCUGACGAGUGGCGAACGGGUGAGUAAUGCGUCGGAACGUGCCGAGUAGUGGGGGAUAACGCAGCGAAAGUUGUGCUAAUACCGCAUACGUACUGAGGUAGAAAGUGGGGGACCUUCGGGCCUCACGCUAUUCGAGCGGCCGACGUCUGAUUAGCUAGUAGGUGAGGUAAAGGCUCACCUAGGCGACGAUCAGUAGCGGGUCUGAGAGGAUGAUCCGCCACACUGGGACUGAGACACGGCCCAGACUCCUACGGGAGGCAGCAGUGGGGAAUUUUGGACAAUGGGCGAAAGCCUGAUCCAGCCAUGCCGCGUGUCUGAAGAAGGCCUUCGGGUUGUAAAGGACUUUUGUCAGGGAGGAAAUCCCUAGUGCUAAUAACACUGGGGGAUGACAGUACCUGAAGAAUAAGCACCGGCUAACUACGUGCCAGCCGCCGCAGUAACAC